rnacentral:lncRNA from 1 species
CCCCAUCCGGUCUAAAGAGAAUCGGGCCUUCGACUUUGCUCAUGUUAGGGUGAGGUUUUCCUCCUAUCCCUAACAGGACUGUGAGGGCACAUAUGGGCAUUGCAGGGCCUCUCCCCCAUCCGGUCUAAGGGUAACCGGACCUUUGACUUUGCUCAUGUUAGGGUGAGAUUUUUCUCCUAUCCCUAACAGGGCUGUGGGGGCACAUAUGGGCAUUGCAGGGCCUCUCCCCCCG